rnacentral:rRNA from 1 species
UACGGAGGGGGCAAGCGUUGUUCGGAUUUACUGGGCGUAAAGGGCGCGUAGGCGGCGCGUAAAGUCGGAUAUGAAAUCAUUAGGCUCAACCUGAUGGCUGUGUCCGAUUCUUGCGUGCUUGGAGUGCGGGAGAGGCAGGCGGAAUUCUCGGUGUAGCGGUGAAAUGCGUAGAUAUCGAGAGGAACACCGGUGACGAAGGUGGGUUGCUGGACCGACACUGACGCUGAGGCGCGAAAGCUAGGGGAGCAAACGGG